UUAUUAAAAAAAUAAUUUCAAAAAUGAAAAGGGCAAAAUCGGAUAUUCAUGUUUCAUUAAAGCAAUGAGGGUAUAGGAGAUUUGAGAGGCCCAUAGGAGAAUGUCUCUAGAGAUAUGGGGGCAUGGGAGAAGUUGGCUCCUUUCAUAUGGACCCUCCAUGCAGAUUUGAAAGGCUUAAGAUCACUCAAGUUGCUGAUUUUAAUUAUGGAAUCCAUAAGGGU
rnacentral:lncRNA from 1 species